AGACGUCUACAUUAGAUACCCGCGUAGUCCCAGCCGUAAACUAUGCGCGUUAGGUGUAUCGGUGACCACGAGUUACCGAGGUGCCGAAGGGAAACCGUGAAACGUGCCGCCUGGGAAGUACGGUCGCAAGGCUGAAACUUAAAGGAAUUGGCGGGGAGCACCACAACAGGUGGAGCCUGCGGUUUAAUUGGACUCAACGCCGGGAAGCUCACCGGAUAGGACAGCAGAAUGAUUGCCGGGCUGAAGACCCUGCAUGACUAGUUG
rnacentral:rRNA from 1 species